rnacentral:lncRNA from 1 species
AAAGGAGCAACUUUGGUGGCAUGGAACAAAACAUUUAGGUCGAAGAAUAAAGUAACUUCUUUUCCUUAUUCUAUUUAAUUUUUUCCUUUUAUUAGCUUAGAUUUAUAUUUAUGUUUGUUGAUUUUGUAUAAACAUGUGGGUAUUAGAUAAUGAAUAUUUUAUGAAUUCUGUAUCGCCUUUUCUCUUCCUAUUUUAUGAAUUUUCGUAUUGCCUUUUGUCUUCCUAUUUUAUGAAUUUGCAUAUUGCCUUUUUUCUUCAUCUUUUAUCAUUUGUUUUCUUACUUUUUCCUUAUAAUUUAUUAUCUAAGCUUCUCGAGAAACUUCUUUCUAUUACUUUUUUUAAUGUUUAUAAUAGCCAUGUUCUUCAUUAGUGCUCUAGAUCUAUUUUAGAAAUUUGUUUUCAUUUCAACAUAACUUCAUAUGUACUUAUGUUACAUUUUUGGUCUGGUGGGUUCUCGACUGAAAUCUGUGAAACGUUCUGUAUUGAAGAUAUGUUAUAGGUUAUAAUUUUUCCUUCGGAAUACUUUACAAUCAUAUUUGUAUUUAAUUUUAUGCUAAAAUUAUUUGAGUUUUAGUUUUGAUAGGUUGAUCAAUGUGAGGUUUAAUCUAAAAAAAAGUUCUAUCCAUAUUUUUUCUAACCUUAUGAAUAAAGAACUAAUCCCUUUCGUGGACUAUUUCUCCCAAUAAAUGUUACUCUCAGAAGUCGAAACCUUAAGUUUUGUCCUUUUCAAGUCAAAUGAACUAUUAGAAACGAAAAUUAUGGUUGAAGAUAUGCAUAUAAUGAGAGGAACCUCAAGUGGUUGUAAUUAGAUUCUUGUUUUAUAAAGCCUUGAUUGCAGCAUUUUGGAGAUGCCACAACCACAUUGGAGAAUAUUUGAAUGAUAAGUGGAGAUGUUACAACAAAACCACAUUCGGUAAGUCCCUGAAUAUUUUACAUCUGUAUACAACAUAAAAAGAAAGAAUUUAUAUAAGAGUGAGGAUCCACUUACUCUAAGAUUUAAACUUCCUUAUCCUAGCCAUCAAUCCUAGGGAAAUCUAAUGGUUUAAAUUUACUCACAACUUCAAACCAUUAGAUUUCCCAAGAAUUGAUGGCUAAGAUAGGUUGGAGUAAGUGGAUCCCACCUCUUUAUAUAAUAGUACUUUUUGAAGAAAAUAGGAGGAGCCCUUACCAUUGUACAAUAGUUGCUUGCUUAUACAAAUAUGUGAUAAAUUUGAAUAACUUAUUUUUCAUACACACUAGUUUAAGACAUGUAUAUAGCCUUAUCCCUCUGCAUCCCUAAAUAGUUGAAGAAUUGUCAUUCCACAUAGUUCUUGAAUACACAGAUAAAGGUUCUACCUUGUUUUGCCAUCCCAAAUAUGACAAACUUUAACCUCAAAUUGGAAACCACCAUCAUUUUUUAUCAUUAAUUGUCGUUGAACAAAAUCCACUAAACACAGAGAAUUACUUUAAUGAUGAUAUUAAAGAUAAAGAAUAUUAUAUAAAUGGAACAUGUAAGAAGAUAAUGACAUAUGGACAAUGUGUUUAGAAUGAAAAUAUGCUUGACUAAACAAAAUAUUCCUAUUUUGAUUACACACAUGGGUUUUGAAAACUUGACUAUAAUUACCUUCUUUUUUUUACAUUUCCAUGUAAGAAUGCUGUUGUAGAUUAGGUCAAAAUAAGACCAUAUUUGGGAAGCAAUAUUGGAAAUUUUAAUAGUCAAGUUUUGAUAGGUAUACACAGUUACAAGCUAAAGACAUUGUCCAUUUGUUAUUGAAUUUUUACAAGUCUGAAUACAUUUAUAGUCUUUACUUUAAUUUUGUUGUUAAGCUAAUUUUAAAUAUGGGAUAUUUUUUAAGGGAUAUUAAAGUAGUAAAAUAUUUUUGGAUUCUAGUAUGACAACAAAGUUUGUUAUUUUGGGAUGACAAAGCAUGAUAAAGCUUAUAUUUUCCUGCUUGCGCUAAUGUUAAUGGCCUAAUAAUGUUUAGGACAUUUUAUAUUUGGAAUACAUUUUACUAUAUUGUCUUCAUUUCAACAAGAGGCUAUGGUUUCUUAUCUUCCUCAUUUUGAAUAAUUGUUUUAUAAGCAAGUAGUCUUGUCCAUUCUACUUCAAAAGAAGUUCUAAAUUGGUGACACAUGAGGUGAGUUUUUAUUCUGUUUUCUAUUCAAAAUAACAUUUUUUAUUCAGGCUUUUCUAGAAGUUUGCACUCAAUGAAAUUACUUCAACAAUCCGGAAUAUCAAAAAACUAAAUUAUUAUAAUUAGAUUUGUGUUUUAUAAAUUGAUUGCACAUUGGAGACAUUUUGAAUGGUAAGUGAAUUUGUUACAACAAAACCACAUUUAGUAAAUCCAUGAAUAUUUUACAUGUGUAUCCAACAUGAAAAACAAGAAUUUAUAUAAUAGUACUUUUUGAAGAAAAUAGGAGGAGCCCUUACAAUUUGUAUAAUAGUUGCUUGCUUAUACAAAUAUGUGAUAAAUUUGAAUAAGUUAUUUUUCAUAUACACUAGUUUAAGACAUGUAUAUAGCGUUAUCACUCGGUAACCCUAAAUAGUUGAAGAAUUAUCAUUCAACAUAGUUCUUGAAUACACAGAUAAAGGUUCUACCUUGUUUUGCCAUCCCAAAUCUUACAAACUUUAACCUCAAAUUGGUAUCCACCAUCAUUUUUUAUCAUUAAUUGUCGUUGAACAAAAUCCACUAAACAUAGAGAAUUACUUUAACGAUGAUAUUAAAGAUAAAGAAUAUUAUAUAAAUGGAACAUGUAAGAAGAUAAUGGCAUAUGGACAAUGUGUUUAGAAUGAAAAUAUGCUUGACUAAACAAAACAUUCCUAGUUUUGUUACAAUCAUGGGUUUUAGAAAACUUGACUAUAAUUACCUUCUUUUUUUUUUUACAUUUCCAUGUAAGAAUGCUAUUGUAGAUUAGGUCAAAAUAUGACCAUCUUUGGGAAGCAACAUUGGAAAUUUUAAUAGUCAAGUUUUGAUAGGUAUACAUAGUUACAUGCUAAAGACAUUGUCCAUUUGUUAUUGAAUUUUUACAAGUCGGAAUACAUUUAUAGUCUUUACUUUAAUUUUGUUGUUAAGCUAAUUUUAAAUAUUGGAUAUUGUUUAAGGGAUAUUAAAUUAGUAAAAUAUUUUUGGAUUCUAGUAUGACAACAAAGUUUGUUAUUUUGGGAUGACAAAGCAUGAUAAAGCUUAUAUUUUCCUGCUUGCGCUAAUGUUAAUGGCCUAAUAAUGUUUAGGACAUUUCCAAAAGAAGAAUUCAUCUCAUUCAUUCAAUAAAUUUCAAAUUACAUUGUUGAGUAUUUAUACAUUGAAGAAGAAAAAGGAAGGAAGAAAUGAAGCUGAUUCUGUUAUAACAGAAUUUGUUUUCUUGGUUAGCAAGAAAACGAAAAUGUAUCUAAUCUAGGCUAGAUGCAUCAAUGAAUGAUAAGGCUAUAACGAAUCCAGGUACAUUUAGUAUGAAUUGAAGUAAGAGUAGACUAGAUUCAUUUGUUGAUGAGUGUUGAUGAGUAGCUUAGGAAGCAAGGCACUUGUUGGUAGCUUAUCUUCCUUUGUUUUGUUGCUGGAAAGUAUAUCAAUAGCCUCCCUCAAGCUGGAGAAUAGAGAUUGAUGAUUCCCAGCUUGGCAAGAAGAUAGUGAAAAGGAUAUGGAUCCAAGGGUUUUGUGAGAAUGUUAGCCACCUGCUCAGCAGAGGGAAUAGGUAAAAGAUGGAAGAGUUUUGCCUGCGAUCGUUCUCUAACAACAUGACAAUCAAUAUCAAUGUGUUUAGUUCUCUCAUGGAACACUGAAUUAGCAGCAAUGUGUCUUGCAGAAUCAUUAUCACAAUACAAAACAGUAGGAGCAGAGAAGGAGAUGUGGAAGUUGGCAAAUAGAUAAGUGAGCCACUGAAGCUCACAAGUAGUGGCAGCCAAAGCUCUGUACUCAGCUUCUAAAGAAGAACGAGCAACAAUGGUUUGUUUCUUAGUUCUCCAUGAAAUCAGAGAGUGAUCAAGAAACACACAGUAACCAGAAAUUGAUUUCCUUGAAUCAAGGCAUGCACCCCAAUCUGAGUCACUGAAAGCUUUAAGUUGAAGAGAAGAGUUGGAGGAAUAGAAAAGUCCCUGCCCAGGAGAUCCUUUAAUAUAUCUCAAUACUCGAGUGAGAGCUUGAUGGUGCAUGAUUGUAGGAUUAGUCAAAAACUAACUUAAUUGCUGCACAGAAUAAGAUAAAUCUGGUCAUGUAUUUGUCAAAUAUAGUAGCCUACCAACCAGUCUUCUAUAGGAGACUGGAUCAACCAGUGUGUUAGAAGGAUCCUGAUGAAGUUUUGUGGCUUUGACCAUAGGGGUAGAGACUGGUUUGGAGGCAAGAAAACCAGUAUCUGAUAAUAUGUCAAGAGCAUAUUUCCUUUGACAAAGAGUUAUCCUAUCAUGAGACCUAGCAACCUCCAAGGCAAGGAAAUAUCUCAAUGUCCCCAAAUCUUUUAUUUUGAACUCAGAAUCAAGGUGAUGUUUCACAAAGGAAAUUUCCUUGAAAUCAUUUCCACCUAGGAUCAUAUCAUCAACAUAUAUAAGUAAGGCAGUGAAUUUUGAAUUGUUCUUCUUAGUGAAUAAAGAG